UUGGAGGGCAAGUCUGGUGCCAGCAGCCGCGGUAAUUCCAGCUCCAAUAGCGUAUAUUAAAGUUGUUGCAGUUAAAAAGCUCGUAGUUGAAUUUCGGGAUCAAUAUGCUGGUCGUGCCUUUGGUACGUACUGGUAUUAUUGGUUUCUCCUUUCUGAUGAAUCAUGAUGUCAUUAAUUUGGUGUCAUGGGGAAUCAGGACUGUUACUUUGAAAAAAUUAGAGUGUUUAAAGCAGGCUUACGCUUGAAUACAUUAGCAUGGAAUAAUGAAAUAGGACGUUUAAUUCUAUUUUGUUGGUUUCUAGGAUUGACGUAAUGAUUAAUAGGGAUAGUUGGGGGCAUUAGUAUUCAAUUGUCAGAGGUGAAAUUCUUGGAUUUAUUGAAGACUAACUACUGCGAAAGCAUUUGCCAAGGAUGUUUUCAUUAAUCAAGAACGAAAGUUAGGGGAUCGAAGACGAUCAGAUACCGUCGUAGUCUUAACCAUAAACUAUGCCGACUAGGGAUCGGAUGAUGUUAAUUUAUGACUCAUUCGGCGCCUUACGGGAAACCAAAGUGUUUGGGUUC
rnacentral:rRNA from 1 species